rnacentral:tRNA from 1 species
GCAUCCGUAGCUCAGCUGGAUAAGAGUACUCGGCUACGAACCGGCGGUCGGAGGUUCGAAUCCUCCCCGGAUGCACCA